rnacentral:tRNA from 1 species
GCGAGAGUGGUGGAACUGGCAGACACGCUAGACUUAGGAUCUAGUGCCUCUGGGCAUGUGGGUUCGAGUCCCACCUCUCGCA